rnacentral:rRNA from 1 species
UUAUUGUUAUCUAAUCUUUUUUACUAUUUCUCUUCUCCUCCAUUUUUGACUAUUGAGUUAUGUCAGAAUUUUAUUUUCUUUUAUAUGUAUUGUUUCCUUCCUUAUUUUUUUUUCUUUUUUUUUUUUAUUAUCAUUCUCUUAAUUUUUAUUUUGAUUUAAUUCUCAUUCUUUUAUCAUCAUGUUAAUAGAUUUCUCUUUUAUCCCUCUUUUUUUUUAUUUUUUCAUUUUUAUUUUCUUAUUUAAUACAUAUCUUUCUCUAUUGUCUCUUUCUUGUCUAUCUUUCCUUUAUUCUUUUUUCUGUCUCCUUUUUAUUUGUAUUUUUUUCGACUACCUUCUUUUUUUUUUUUUUUUUUUUCUUCUUUUUCUCUUUUUUUUUUCACUUUUCACUUUAAUAUUUUUUAUUUUACUAUUUUUUUUCUCUUCUUCUAACUCCUAUUCAGUGGUUUAUUUUUCUCUUCCUUUUUGUUUUUUUUUUAAUUUUUUCAUGUCUUAUCAUGGUAUUUUUUUGCUUCUUUUCAAAUUAUUUUUUUAUGGGAUCUACUUUGUCGCCCGUCUCAAUUUUACAAAAUCUUUCCUAGUUCGGACCCGNCUUUCAUAUCUNGUCCAAGAAAUGGAAUCGCUAGUAAUCGUGGUUUAGCACGCCACGGUGAAUACUUUNCGGGGCUUGUACNCACCGCCCAGUCACACCAAUGGGAGUUGUUUUUACUUGAAGACGGUUGCGAUAACCAGCAAUGCAGGCAGCCGCCCACGGUAGGUUCAGCGAUCGGGGUGAAGUCGUAACAACGUAA